UACGAAGGGGGCUAGCGUUGCUCGGAUUUACUGGGCGUCAAGGGCGCGUGGGCGGAUGUUUAAGUCGGGGGUGAAAGCCCAGGGCUCAACCCUGGAAUUGCCUUCGAUACUGGACAUCUUGAGUACGGGAGAGGUGAGUGGAACUCCGAGUGUAGAGGUGAAAUGCGUAGAGAUUCGGAAGAACACCAGUGGCGAAGGCGACUCACUGGCCCGUUACUGACGCUGAGGCGCGAAAGCGUGGGGAGCAAACAGG
rnacentral:rRNA from 1 species